rnacentral:snRNA from 1 species
GUGCUCACUUAGGCAGCACAUAUACUGAAACUGGAACGAUACAGAGAAGAUUAACGUGGCCCCUGCACAAGGAUGACACGCAAAUUCAUGAAGCAUUCCAUAUUAAA